rnacentral:lncRNA from 1 species
AUGGUGCACAUGAACGACUUGGCUGAUGCCCUCAAGAGCAUCAGCAAUGUCGAAAAGACAGGCAAACGCCAGGUUCUUACUAGGCUGUGCUCCAAAGUCAUUGUCUUUUUUUUUUUUUUUAACUGUGACAAUGAAGCAUGGUUCCAUUGGCGAAUUUGAAAUCAUUGAUGAUCACAGAGCUGGGAAAAUUGUAGUGAACCUCACAGGCAGGCUAAACAGGUGUGGAGGGAUGAGUCCCAGAUUUGAUGUGCAACUCAAAGAUCUAGAAAAAUGGUAGAGUAAUCUGCUUCCAUCCUGCCAGUUUGGUUUCAUUGUACUAACUAUCUCAGCUGACAUCAUAGACCGUGAAGAAGCAAGACGAAAAUGCACAGGAGGGAAAAUCGUAGGAUUCUUUUUCUAG